AUCCAGCUGACGAGUUUUAAAUAGGACGAAAUGCGAAUCCUGGAU
rnacentral:hammerhead_ribozyme from 1 species